GAUGAACGCUGGCGGCGUGCUUAACACAUGCAAGUCGAACGGUGAAGGCGGAGCUUGCUCUGCUGGAUCAGUGGCGAACGGGUGAGUAACACGUGAGCAAUCUGCCCCUGACUCUGGGAUAAGCGCUGGAAACGGCGUCUAAUACUGGAUACGAGCUGCGAAGGCAUCUUCAGCAGCUGGAAAGAACUUCGGUCAGGGAUGAGCUCGCGGCCUAUCAGCUUGUUGAUGAGGUAACGGCUCACCAAGGCGUCGACGGGUAGCCGGCCUGAGAGGGUGACCGGCCACACUGGGACUGAGACACGGCCCAGACUCCUACGGGAGGCAGCAGUGGGGAAUAUUGCACAAUGGGCGAAAGCCUGAUGCAGCAACGCCGCGUGAGGGACGACGGCCUUCGGGUUGUAAACCUCUUUUAGCAGGGAAGAAGCGAAAGUGACGGUACCUGCAGAAAAAGCGCCGGCUAACUACGUG
rnacentral:rRNA from 1 species